GCUGUUUUGGCAGAAUAGUGCAAUAAAUUUAGAAUUUAUUUAUGUAAUUUUUUUUUACAAUCAGUA
rnacentral:tRNA from 1 species